UACAGAGGUCUCAAGCGUUGUUCGGAUUCAUUGGGCGUAAAGGGUGCGUAGGCGGCGCGGUAAGUCGGGUGUGAAAUUUCGAGGCUUAACUUCGAAACUGCAUUCGAUACUGCCGUGCUAGAGGACUGGAGAGGAGACUGGAAUUUACGGUGUAGCGGUGAAAUGCGUAGAUAUCGUAAGGAAGACCAGUGGCGAAGGCGGGUCUCUGGACAGUUCCUGACGCUGAGGCAACGAAGGCCCAGG
rnacentral:rRNA from 1 species